rnacentral:lncRNA from 1 species
GAGGUGAGGAGCUUUGGUUGGGAGAAACAUUGACCCAGACUGCACUCUGGGUAAACUAGGGCAAAAGACCUGAUAUCGUCUGCAGGGUACUUAUUAACCACUGUUCAUUUGCAGGAUCAAUAUUUCCAGCAAAGGAGUCCACACUCAAGAUACACUGCUACGUCUCACUUUUUCCUUGACACAACAAUUUAUUUUAUAAAUGCAUCUGCUGGAGAAGAAAAGGCAGUACCAAGGAUUGUGUCUUUUAUCUCCAGGAUAUGCAAAGCGCAUUUAUUUUCAGCUUUUAUCUCUGGAAUUGUAUGUUGAUCCCAUACAUAUAGAUUGAUUUUGUUCAGGUAGAUAAUGAAAAGUCAAGUGGAAAAUUACACAAUGGCAUUCACGAUCCUAGUCUUAUAUCAGUAUAUAAAUUGGUUUAUUAUUUCAUUCUAUUAAAGAGGCUUUUUUUUGGUACCAGGAAAACUUCAAAAUGCAUUGUGUUGUCAGCCUCACUGAAUUUUCUUUUGGAGGAGGAGGUAGGGAGGGGAAGCCAAAGCCCCGAUUUCUCCUGCUCCUUUUGCUAAUUGUAUUGGCUAAAUGAGCUUUCACAGAGGGGGGUCCUGGCUGCUUUUUGCUCUCCCCCAGACCACUUGUAGGUUGCACACAGGGCUUCUAUAACUCUUUCUGAGUCAGGACAAAGAUAUCCGCCGUGCACACCCUGUGACAUAGGUGGAUAUUUAUUUCAUCCCGGGCAAUUCUAAAUUUUGUCAUGAUGACUGAAAGAGGCAAUCCCCUCCUGAGCAUUAAGAGGCCAGGGGUGAGAGGGUGGCAGCAUAGAAAAGCCACCACCCAGAGACAGCUUGGAGCCAUGAUCCUGGAGGAAAUGUUAUUAAUAAACAUCUUUUGGACAUUUGGUAGCCCGUGGAGCUUGCUCCAGCUUAAAGCAAUUAAUUCAGGACACUGACAUAAACUCUCCAGAUCUUUGACAGCUUGGAGCCGAAAUAAAAAUGCUAGUUCUCCGGGGAAGAGAAGAGGAUGGCUAGCCCUUUUCUGGACUGUUUGCUUAUAGGCCCAGAGAGCAACCUUCCUUGCAGAAUGAAAUGCAAGGGCACAAACAAUGUACCAGGGAGAGAAUAGAAGAUGGGAAUGAACAGUUUGAACUAUUUGCUCAGCAGAAGGGCACCACAAUGCUGGGGUAGUGGUUUUCCCAUGCGUCCACUGUCCCUUCUUUGGGAUCUUUUGUUGUCCCCUGUCUCCUUUGGCCAGAUAAAAGCACAGCUGCAGCAUUGCAGAUAACAAGUAGGCCGUACUUAUCCCCCUAAAUCUCGGGGUGCCUUUACUGUAACAAGUUAUGCUCGGCUCUCUUUUAUUUUACAAGAGGAUGGUGAGGGAGAGAAUGGAAGAACAGAGGGGGCGGACGUAUAAGACAUUUGACACUGCCUAUGUCUGAUUUCUCUUUCUUUCUUUCUUUCUUUCUUUCUUUCUUUCUUUCUUUCUUUCCUUUCUUUCUUUCUUGCAAGCUGUGAUCGGAUGCAAUCUUUGUGGGACAUUUAAAUGGAAGGGUUCAUUGAUGUGUAUUGCUUGCCAAGCCAAAAUGUUGCCUUUGGGGAAAAGGGAGAGAGGUGUUCAUGGAGUGCAGGGAAAGGAGGUUUUGGGGCAGAGAUUUUGACUUAAAAUAACCAGACUUCUUCUGGCUGCUGAAAAGAGGCAAAAGUUUUAAAUUGUCAAGUUUAAAACUAUGUUCAGUUAUGAUUUGCCACUUCUGAAUAUUAUUUUGGAUUUCCCCUUUCAUGCUUAUUUUGUUCAGAAUCCUAAUGAAUAGAGGUUGCUGGACUCAGGGUAAAAGCAGGAUGAACUGGAGAUGGGACAUACAAGGUACUUUUGGAAUUGCCAUAGAUUACACCUAUAAUCAGAGUAAAUGUCAUCAACAAAUAAUCAAAAUAUUUUUUACAUUUGCUCUUCUAAAAUCAGAGCCUAUUUUAAAUAUAAAAGAAAGUAGAUGUGAUAAUAAUAUAAACUACAGUCACAUUAAGUUGAUAUUAAAUUCAAAAUCUAACAUAGAUUUGCACUGUUGGGUGUGUGUUCCGAAUCAGUGGGUUUUCCCACUGAUGUUGAUUUCGGGAGCCAGGCUUCAAUGUUUAAUUCUAUUGUAAUGUGGUUAUUUAGCCUGAAUGGUUUUAUAAGGUGGAAAGGCAAAAAAUUUAAUUCCGAAGAAAACUAGUGUUUUACUAUGACUGUGGUAAACAUUUCCAAAGCCCACCUGUGGGAAAUACAAAGUUUUAAUGCUGUGUGUUUUUUUGUUUUUGUAUUUUGUCUCAUCGACAAAACUGGCAGAAAAAAACGCUUUCGUAUAUUUUUCCUGCUGGGUGGUCAGAAGGAAAGGCCGUGAAGCUAAAGGUCUCCCACUGAGACGCUGUUCUGCAAGGAGCCGACCUCACGUGCCGCCGCCGCCAGAGAAGAGAGCACCUGUUCAUCUCGGCUCACUGUGAGGCUGAGCUCAGCGCUGGCAGGCGAGGGGCCGCAAGCAUCCCCCACAGCCACCGAGAGGGCAUCCCUGCAGGGAAAUCAUAUCCGACAUGCCUGUGCCCACAGCAGACUUAAGACUGCCUCUAAAAUGUCCAUGAAGCCAUUGUCCAGUAGAGCUGUUAGUUUUAACACCAGUUCAUAGGUGGAAGGGACUUGCCUUGUCUCAGAUGAGACUUUGGACUGUGGAUUUCUAAGUUAAUGCUGAAAUGAGUUAAGACUUUUGGGGACUGCUGGGAAGUCUCAGGUAUGUCUUUAUCAGCAGCAUGAAAACGGACUAAUAUAGCACCUCUGCUGACAGCUAUAGGACCAAGGACUGUAGACCCAAAUGCAGCAGCCACACGUAUUUUCCUGUCAUGAAGAUUUUCUUUAAUAAAGCUGCAAGUUUUGGGGAAAGUAUGUGUGAUGACUGGGAACUGAUUCCCGAAGGCUAGCUGCAAACCACGACUGGGAAAGAAGCAGGAUGGGCCCAGACUUUGCGGUGGCUGCUGUCCACCAGAACAUUCAGGUUCAGAAGGGUCGUGGGGGUCCCCGAGCCUGCUGAAAGAUGAGGCCCAGUCCUGGCUCCACUCAACUUACCGCACCCAUGCUUCAUUGCUCCUCAAAGCACUCACGACUCUGAUAUUUUGCUUCUAUAUUUGCUUCUUAUUUGUCUCCCAUCACUAGGAUGAAAUCUUCCAGAGAGCAAUGGUUUUCUCUGUCUUAUUCACUGUUGUAAAUAGUGCCUGGCACAUAGUAGGCACUGAAUAAAUAUUUGUUGAAUCAAUGCAUGAAUGA